UGGGGAAUAUUGGACAAUGGGCGAAAGCCUGAUCCAGCCAUGCCGCGUGUGUGAAGAAGGCCUUUUGGUUGUAAAGCACUUUAAGUGGGGAGGAAAAGCUUAUGGUUAGUACCCAUAAGCCCUGACGUUACCCACAGAAUAAGCACCGGCUAACUCUGUGCCAGCAGCCGCGGUAAUACAGAGGGUGCAAGCGUUAAUCGGAAUUACUGGGCGUAAAGCGCGCGUAGGUGGUUAUUUAAGUCAGAUGUGAAAGCCCCGGGCUUAACCUGGGAACUGCAUCUGAUACUGGAUAACUAGAGUAGGUGAGAGGGGAGUAGAAUUCCAGGUGUAGCGGUGAAAUGCGUAGAGAUCUGGAGGAAUACCGAUGGCGAAGGCAGCUCCCUGGCAUCAUACUGACACUGAGGUGCGAAAGCGUGGGUAGCAAACAGGAUUAGAUACCCUGGUAGUCCACGCCGUAACGAUGUCUACCAGUCGUUGGGUCUUUUAAAGACUUAGUGACGCAGUUACGCGAUAAGUAGACCGCCUGGGGAGUACGGCCGCAAGGUUA
rnacentral:rRNA from 1 species